UUGUUUGUUGUUGUAACAAAUAAAACUGACAAAAACAAAAUACAUCGUCCAGUAAGGUGUCUGUGGCUAUUGAAAGAAAAGUUAUUCAUGACCUCUUGUUAUUUAUGCUCGGUAAUAAAACGGUAUUAACAAUAAGUUAUUUAGCUACACUUUCUGCUUUACAGAAACGAAAAGACACAGAUACGCUAGCACUACCAGUACACAUGUAGAAAAACGUGUCAAUUAUGGCUCUACACUGGAAAAAACAUUUGCCAAAAGAAGCAUGCCAAAAUAACCUUUGUGACAGUGCAAAUACAUCGAUGUCCCUGGUACAAAACAUUUAGGUUAGCAUUCCGUGAAACAUGCUAGUUCUCCGAAGAGAUCUGAACCAGUCGUAGAGUAGCAGAGUAGCAGCUCUGAGGAGAUAGCUUGUGUCUUUUCUUCUCGGACAAACAUCCUUCUUUAAAAGUACUAGGAGGUAACUACCACUGACACAUACACACAGGAGACAGGAAACAGCUCAGAAACAUGAUGCUUUCUCUCUCCUUUUGCUAGAAAGAGGAGGGGACUGAAGUUGUGGUUGGUUAAAGUAAUAUACAUCGUCACAACUGUCCAACACAUUCAAUAAACAUUGGAGACGGUACAGGUCAGAAGGGUUAAACACCAUCACAUAUACAAAGGAAGAAUAACAAGAAACGUGUCGGUAUGUGGUGUCUGGAGAUGAGGAGAGAGAAAGAGAGUAGAGUGGGUUCAGAGGAGAUGGGCAGGACAGGGAGAGAGUAGAGUGGGUUCAGAGGAGAUGGGCAGGACAGAGAGAGAGUAGAGUGGGUUCAGAGGAGAUGGGCAGGACAGAGAAAGAGAGUAGAGUGGGUUCAGAGGAGAUGGGCAGGACAGAGAGAGAGAGUUGUGGGUUCAGAGGAGAUGGGCAGGACAGAGAGAGAGUAGAGUUGGGUUCAGAGGAGAUGGGCAGGACAGAGAGUUAGUAGAGUGGGUUCAGAGGAGAUGGGCAGGACAGAGAGAGAGUAGAGUUGGUUCAGAGGAGAUGGAGGAGUUGGACAGGACAGAGAGAGAGUAGAGUUGGUUCAGAGGAGAUGGAGGAGUUGGACAGGACAGAGAGAGUAGAGUUGGUUCAGAGGAGAUGGAGGAGUUGGGCAGGACAGAGAGAGAGUAGAGUUGGUUCAGAGGAGAUGGAGGAGUUGGACAGGACAGAGAGAGAGUAGAGUUGGUUCAGAGGAGAUGGAGGAGUUGGACAGGACAGAGAGAGAGUAGAGUUGGUUCAGAGGAGAUGGAGGAGUUGGACAGGACAGAGAGAGAGUAGAGUUGGUUCAGAGGAGAUGGAGGAGUUGGGCAGGACAGAGAGAGAGUAGAGUUGGUUCAGAGGAGAUGGAGGAGUUGGACAGGACAGAGAGAAGAGUAGAGUUGAGUUCAGUGUACAACUAUUUUCUCUCACUGAUUCAUAGGUAAUCUCUU
ensembl:lncRNA